UACGAAGGGGGCUAGCGUUGCUCGGAAUCACUGGGCGUAAAGCGCACGUAGGCGGCUUUCUAAGUCAGGGGUGAAAUCCUGGAGCUCAACUCCAGAACUGCCUUUGAUACUGUAAAGCUUGAGUUCGGGAGAGGUGAGUGGAACUGCGAGUGUAGAGGUGAAAUUCGUAGAUAUUCGCAAGAACACCAGUGGCGAAGGCGGCUCACUGGCCCGAUACUGACGCUGAGGUGCGAAAGCGUGGGGAGCAAACAGG
rnacentral:rRNA from 1 species